GAACGCACCUUGCGCCUCUUGGUAUUCCGAGGGGCAUGCCUGUUUGAGUGUCAUUGAAUCCUCAAAAGGGAAAACUUUAAUGGUUCCUCUCUUUUUGGAAUUGGGGCGUGCUGGCCUUUUCUUGGAAAGCCCAGCUCCCUUGAAAUACAUUAGCGAUGUGACAUCCUCGUGCUCCACGCUUCUCUGGCAUUGAUAGUCUUUUCAUGCUUGAGGCGUGUUUUUUGCAGCUGUGGAAAGUUUCGCUCGCUCACAACUGAUGGGUUGUUGCCCAUCCUCUGACCAAUUUAACCUCAAAUCAGGUAGGAUCACCCGCUGAACUUAAG
rnacentral:misc_RNA from 1 species